rnacentral:rRNA from 1 species
CCUGACUGCUAUCGGAUUGAUACUAAGCCAUGUGAGCCAUUGUAGCAAUACAAGGCAUACGGCUCAGUAACACGUAGCCAACCUACCCUAUGGACGGGGAUAACCUCGGGAAACUGAGGAUAAACCCCGAUAGAUCAUUAUGCCUGGAACGGUUUAUGGUCCAAAUGAUUCGUCGCCGUAGGAUGGGACUGCGGCCUAUCAGCUUGUUGGUGAGGUAAUGGCCCACCAAGGCUAUUACAGGUACGGGCUCUGAGAGGAGAAGCCCGGAGAUGGGUACUGAGACACGGACCCAGGCCCUAUGGGGCGCAGCAGGCGAGAAAACUUUGCAAUGUGCGAAAGCACGACAAGGUUAAUCCGAGUGGUUUCUGCUAAAGGAACCUUUUGACAGUCCUAGAAACACUGUUGAAUAAGGGGUGGGCAAGUUCUGGUGUCAGCCGCCGCGGUAAAACCAGCACCUCAAGUGGUCAGGAUGAUUAUUGGGCCUAAAGCAUCCGUAGCCGGCUCAGUAAGUUUUCGGUUAAAUCUGUACGCUCAACGUACAGGCUGCCGGGAAUACUGCAGAGCUAGGGAGUGGGAGAGGUAGACGGUACUCGGGAGGAAGUGGUAAAAUGCUUUGAUCUUUCGAUGACCACCUGUGGCGAAGGCGGUCUACCAGAACACGUCCGACGGUGAGGGAUGAAAGCUGGGGGAGCAAACCGGAUUAGAUACCCGGGUAGUCCCAGCUGUAAACUAUGCAAACUCAGUGAUGCAUUGGCUUGUGGCCAAUGCAGUGUUGCAGGGAAGCCGUUAAGUUUGCCGCCUGGGAAGUACGUACGCAAGUAUGAAACUUAAAGGAAUUGGCGGGGGAGCACCACAAGGGGUGAAGCCUGCGGUUC